UACGUAGGGUGCGAGCGUUAAUCGGAAUUACUGGGCGUAAAGCGUGCGCAGGCGGUUCGUUAUGUCCGUUGUGAAAGCCCCGGGCUCAACCUGGGAAUGGCAAUGGAAACUGGCGGGCUAGAGUGUGGCAGAGGGGGGUGGAAUUCCGCGUGUAGCAGUGAAAUGCGUAGAGAUGCGGAGGAACACCGAUGGCGAAGGCAAUCCCCUGGACCUGUACUGACGCUCAUGCACGAAAGCGUGGGGAGCAAACAGG
rnacentral:rRNA from 1 species